UACGUAGGGGGCAAGCGUUGUCCGGAUUCAUUGGGUUUAAAGGGAGCGUAGGUGGCCUUAUAAGUCAGUGGUGAAAUCUCUCAGCUUAACUGAGAAAUUGCCAUUGAUACUGUAGGGCUUGAGUAUAGUUGCCGUUGGCGGAAUAUGACAUGUAGUGGUGAAAUACAUAGAGAUGUCAUAGAACACCGAUUGCGAAGGCAGCUGACGAAACUAUAACUGACACUGAGGCUCGAAAGUGCGGGGAUCAAACAGG
rnacentral:rRNA from 1 species